CAUUUUAGGGCCGAACCCACAGCAUAUGGAGAUUCCCAGGCUAGGGGUCGAAUCAGAGCUGUAGCCACUGGCCUAUGCCACAACCACAGCAAUGCCAGAUCUGAGCUGCAUCUGCAGCCUACACCACAGUUCACAGCAAUGCUGGAACCUUAACCCACUGAGCAAGGCCAAGGGUCGAACCUGCAUCCUCAUGGAUGCUAGUCAGAUUUGUUUCCGCUGAACCAGGAUGGGAACUCCUGAGCAACCAUUUCUGAGCUUGAUGGGUUAUUUUUACCUUGGAUAUUCCAAAAACACAUGAGCUGUACAAAACUGGAAAACUGUUACUGACCAGACAUAUUGGGGGCCUGGGAGUGACCCUCAGAGACCUCAAGACCUGAGUCAUAGUAACAAAGCAGAUGGCCCAGCGCACAAUCUCCAAAGGGCAUGAAGACCUCAGAUGGGCUUCCCUCAAACAUCUGUGUGAAGUUCUCCAUCCAGUUCAGCAGACCAGCAUCAGUGCUGGCAGUGGGAAGUGAUCAAAUCCAGGUAGUCAGUGACAUGCCAUUCCAAAGAAAGAGAAUACUGCAUUCAUUGUAGGACUCAGGAGAAGAAAAUGGUGAAGGUUUAGGUGGUCAAAAUCUACUGGGGUUCAGAGUUGGCUUUCAGCUCUAGGUGGAAAACUAGAGUACAGGUAAGUGGUUUGAGAUCAUAUUGAUCAAUGGAUAGAUGAAGGGGAGGAAGGCUGGAUAAAGCUAGUCUGUAUUCACUGUCUGGGAUGGGCCAGGCAUUAUGUAAUUUAAUACUCAGAGAAUCUUGCAAAGGAGAUAGAUCCACUUUACUUGAUAGGAAAAUUGUCCCUUAGAGAGAGUGAAUAAUUUGAUCAUACACUUUUGCAAAAAGUAAAGCCAAGAUUCAACCUUGAACCAGGAGUCAAAUCAGAGCUACAGCUUCCAGCCUACACCACAGCCACAGCAAUGCCAGAUUCUAGCCACAUCUGUGGCCUACACCACAGCUCACGACAAUGCUGUAUCUCUGACCCACUGAGCAAGGCCAGGGAUCGAACCCACAACAUCAUGGAUACCGGUUGGAUUUGUUUCUACUGUGCCACAAAGGGAACUCCUGAAUGAAUCUCUUAAUUAAAGAAAGAGCCACUUUGAACUCUGGUUAUUGUACAAGAGUCAAGGAGGUUGUCAGUGUCUUGAAAAAGACAGUAAAAGCUGAGUAUUGGAAUUAAGAUUUUUCCUUUUAUUAGUAGUAAGAUGGCAAUAGUAGUUGAGGGUUGUUCCUUAACUUCUGUCAUAUUAAUAUUUUAACAAUGAGAUCAGCCUAGUUUCAGAAACACAAAGAGACAGGAUGGGAAUCCUGUAACUUGUACAAAUCCUUGGAAAAGAAAAAGCAUCCAGUACAAUAAGUGCCAUAUGGUGAGAUAUGAAAACAGUGAGGAACGAAGAGAAGCAGCCAUUCAAAGCCAACACUAGGCUCUGGAAUAUAUGAACUGUCCCCUUGCUUAUAGUUUUAGGUCAUUGCAGGAUGUCUAAAACAAUCUAAUGGAAAAAGCAGCUGAGAAGAGCCUAAGAAAGCCUUGGCAAUGUUAGGUCCCAACAAGGAGUGUUUGGGAACACCUUGAGAGCCUAAUAAAUCACACUUUGAUGACUUCCUAGAUCAUCAAGCCCUGACAAAGGCAGUGUUCAGUUCUUUGCCAUUUCAAAAUCUAAUAAAAUUGUUGAACGCCACCUCAUUCUGUGUCCCUAAAUGAGAGGGAAAUAGCAGUUUACUUCAGUGGUUUCCAUGAACGAUCAAAGGAUCUCUGCCCCAGUGCUAACCGAAAAGGCAUGAUAAGGAAUCAGCAAACACAAUGGAUAAGACCCUGUACUUUUCCAAAGGCCGACUUUUUUCCAUUUAGAACUGACAAUGCAUUAUGAGAUGUAUCUUGUGAAGAAACAAUUUAAAGUCUUUAGAAUGAGACCAAAACCAGAAAAUGGUGAAGGAUUGGGAAAAGAUGACUGUAUUUAUUUAGAAUCAAGAAACUCUGAGAAAGUGAAGCUGGAGUAGGGAUUGAAACUGAUGAAGGGCUGAAGUAAAAUGCGGCAUUACUGAUGCAGCAAAGAAGAGGGAAAGUCAAAGAAAUCUUACUAAUACAGGAAAAGAAUAUUAUCAAAAUUUUGAAAUAAAAAUAUUAUUGGGCAAGAAGUGUCUAAUAAUUUUGCUGCUUCUGCAAAAGGGGAAGGUGUAUAUUUGUCAGGUGUUACCAGUCCCUUCAUGACUCCCCAUAAAAGUGUGUUUGCUUUAAGCUUGGAUUCUGGGUUAGGAUUUAUCCUUUCCCCCCCAAAGUGGUUCCUAAAAUUCUUCUCAUUACCAAAGUAAUACCCACGGUGGUAAUUAUAUUAACAACAGUUACCAAAGUCCUGCUGGGCCUGAAGUUCUCUCCCCAGGGAAGGCUGUUCUGAGGUCUUUGUGCCUUAGAGGACUCAGCGUCCCCUCAAGGCUGCCUCACGUCCGGUGCCAACUUUUACUACCUUGACACAUGUCAUCUGGUUGUUUACCUGCCUCCCACCCUAGGCUGUAAGCCUUUCCCAGGAUGGGGAAUCUUUGCAUCCCCAGUGCAUCACAACAUGCUUGAAAGUGUGUAUGUAUGUAUGUAUGUAUUUUACAGGUAUAGCUGAUUUACAGUGUUGUGCCAAUUUCUGCUGCACAGCAAAUUGACCCAGUCAUAUAUAUAUAUAUAUACACACACACACACAUACAUAUAUAUAUAUAUAUACACAUUCUUUUUCUCAUAUUAUCUUCCAUCAAGUAUAUCCCAAGAGAUUGGAUAUAGUUUCUUGUGCUGUACAGCAGGACCUCAUUGUUUAUCCAUUCUCAAUAUAAUAGUUUGCAUCUGAUGCAGCAUUUAUUUUAAACUAAAGAUUAUCCCGUCUCAGUUUGGUCCAGCUUUGACUGAUCUGUAUCAUUUUCUCUUGCUAGAGUUACAGCAUUUAUGGCUUCUGGCCAUACAUUUUAGCCCUGAAGGCUAUACUGUUUGAUUCUGUUUGUUUUGGGUUUUUUACAUGAAGAUCUUCAGGGCUGGGGUUCUUGAACAGAGUCAACAUAGCUUAUAUCAUUGUAUCCUCAGAGGGGGCAACAGAGAAUUUGUCCAUCAGCCCUACCCUGAGCAAUCAAUAAAUACUUAAGGGUGCAUUGAUUAAAUUUAGGAAAGGUGUUAAUGUCUAAGGGAAAGACGGCUUUUUGAUUUUGAUGUAAUGGUUCAACGGCAGCAGAACAUUCAGGUUGUUUGGCCCAAGAACUCUGAACUCUUAAGAAAGAGACAGAUCAACAAUUACAGGAAAAUAUGUGGAUUCACAAUGAGGUAUGGAUGCAAUGCACCUUUGAAUUAAUACAUCCAGCUUUAUGCAAUUUUUUAUUUCUUCAUAUUUUAGUGCUGGAAAGAUUUAUGCUUAUUACCAUAACCUACAGGCAUCACAGACCUGGAAGUACUCUCUAAAACAUUGUGCUGAAUACAGUUACAAUGCUAAGCUACAAUAUUAUCAUUCAAAUUAGCUGACAGGAUGGCAUGUAUAUUUCAGCUCAUAAUAUUGACCUUUGAUUAGUGAUAGCUCUUUCUGUAAAUAACAGACCAUGACACAACAGAUAAUUGACUUGACUUGACUUGACAUGUAUUAAAUAGCACCUGACUGUUGGCACUUCUGUUGCUGAAAUGAUGGAUUACCAUUUGUUCUCAUGCCUCUUGUGGCCUUUUUACCUGAAGUAUCUUCACCUCCUCAAUAUGUAGCAGACUUUCCCAUGUUUAUAUGCUUGUAGCUGGAUGGCAUGGGGAGACCCCUACCUUGGAGUUGCCCCUGCUCUUUCCCUGCUGGAGGAAAUUCUGCUACCCCAUGAGAAGUUGGGCUUUGAGAUGACUGCACUGUGUUUCUCUAGAUGCAUUGCUUGUAAGCAUCAUUUAAAUGGUGAGAAUAACAUUCUCAAAAUGGGAUCUGAAGACCUAGGGGGCCUCCAGUUCUCUGUGACUAGAUUUUAAUUUUGUGUUUUCAUUUCAUGAUUAUGUAACUCUGUGUAACCAUAUACUGUAUUAUCAGCAUGACCACCUUAUUUGUACUGUGUUUAAGAUUCCAGAGGCUAUAAGUAGCACUACUUUAAUAUCCUCAAACUAAUGAGAAAAAGAUGGACAUGAACUUGGGCUGUAAGUGACACAUCUGGGCCAGAGGAAGGCAAAUAACAGCAAAGUGUGUCAUAUGAAAGAGAUCUUUGUUGGAAUUUGAAUAGAGCUUCAUCAGAGUAUUAUCACCAUGUUAAAGAAUAUUGAUAAUGGUAGUAAUAACAAUGGUGAUAAUAAUAUUAUUUUUGAUGAUGAUUUGUGAUAGAGCAGUCAAUUUUGAAUAAUAAUUUAUUAUUAAAAUUCAUCAUAUUGAUGUUUUAAAAAAUUAUAAACAGUUUAUUUCUAAAAAUAAAAAGUAUAUAUAAUUUUGUGUGCAUUUAUUUUUAUAUGUAUUUUAUAUGCAUUCCUAGUUUUAUAUUUGCAUGAUUUUAAGAUCAAAAUUUGAAUGAAAAACUAAGUGCAGGGGUCCUUCAGAAACAGUUUAUUUUAGAGGAGACUCAUAGAGUAUUCAGAUUUAUGAAACUGGUUAGAAAGAAAACCUGACCCAAGUAUUUGAUUGCCCCUGCAUGUAGCUCUCAUCAAUGUGUAGUAAUUAAAUUUGCUAGUUGUGCUGUGACCAUUUCUCCAUCCGAACGAACGGCUAUAUCAUUGAAUCUCUUGAUAACUUCCUGUACCUUCUUCUACUAAUUCUCAUCUCACUGAAAUUUAGACUCCUGCUUUAAAAAUAUUGGCUGUUCUUUAAGCUCUCUGUGAUUUUGAUGCUAUCGCAAAUACGCACAGCAUGAAAAGGUGCAUUAGAAGAAUUCCAGAACACUAAUUCCACUUAACAAAUGAGCAAAACUUAAUCUAGAGAGAGAUAAAGUUUCUCGAGGUAAGUGGGCAGCUAGAGUUGCUGUCCAGGAUGCAAAGCAGGUUGUGUUAGUAAUAUGGAUGAAGUUUGGUUUUUUUUAUGAGAUAGAAAUUAUAUUAUUAGAGAACCAAAUGCCAGAAUGAAGUAGGUAAUAGGCAAAUACUGUUUCCUUGGUUCAAACUUGAAGCUGCAAUGAUAG
rnacentral:lncRNA from 1 species